CGUGUCCCUGCCGCAAAGUGCAGAAACCUGCUUGUGGACCUGGGUAAGUUGGAGCCAAAACGUGACCCACACUCUGAACUGCAUAGUUUCAACCUAUUUUAUUUCACAUGACUGUUUGUUCCGCUGAGAUGCCGGAGGAAUAAAACUUCUAAUGUUCACCACCAGAAGUAACGUGUGCUGUCCAAAAGAGGCGUUUAGUUUAAUGGGAGUCCAGUCGGAAACAUUAGAAACAGUUUCGUCGUGUAAAAAAAAGUGUAUGAAAUAUAUAAUCUCUGAAAAACCUGAUCCACGCAGUCUAGUAUAAUUUUAAAUUUAAAGAAUGAGAAAUCUUUUUUUCUCUCCUGUUCUUGUUUUAUCAAUUAAAUGAGUUUGGAGGAUAAGUAUAAACCUGUGAAACUAUCACCACCGUCAAGGCCAUCAACAUCCACCUCCCAAAGUUUCUUCACGCACUUUUUUCAUUAUUUUAGUUAACAUACGAUGUCCUCUCUUAACAUUUAAGUAUACGAGGCAGCACUGUUAGCUGUAGGCACUUGCUAUAUAGUAGAUCUCAGAACUAUUUAUCUUGCGUAACUGAAACUUUGUCUCCUUGGACCAACAUCUCCGGUUUCCUCCUCCCUCAGCCCCUGGCAACCACCAUUCUUGUCUUUGCUUGGAUGAGUCUGACUCUGAGAUUCCACAGAGAAGUCGUAUCUCCUAGUAUGUGUCCUUCUGUGACUGGGUUAUUUCGCUUACUGCAGAGUCCUCAAGGUUCAUCCUUGGUGUUGCAACGGCCAGAUUUCCUUCUUUAUUAAGGCUGAAUAAUAUUCCAUUCUAUGUAUAUACCACAUUUUCUUGAUCCAUUCAUUCAUCAGUGGGCAUUUAGCCUGUUUCAGUGUCUUGGCUAUUGUAAUAAUGCUGCAACAAACACGGGAGUGCAGACAUCUCUUUGAGAUCUUCAUUUCAGUUCCUAUUGAUAAAUACCCAGAAGUGAGAUUGUGGGAAAAUAUGGAAGUUCUAUUUUUAAUUUUUUGAGGAGCUUUCCUACUGUUUUCCAUAAUGGCUGUAAGAACUAGAAUUCUUUCUGUAAGAUCUCUUUUCUCUCCAGUAUCCACAGAUGGUUGACAUAUUAUCUCAUUGUCUCUUUUCCUCUCUCAUUUUUUUCAUUGUUUCCUUAGCUUCAAGACUUUUUUCCAGAAUGCGCUCCUCAUAAACAUGUUAUCAUUUCUUCAGUGAUGACUUUAUAUGAUGUGGUGAAACUGCCAGAGUCGCAGAGAGAAGCAGGCCAGGACCCAGGAUAAUUAGUUCCUGCCUGAUUCCUCCCAGGCAGAGAGGGGAAAGUCAGCGUCCAGAGCAAGGCCUGCCCUUUGGACUCCCCUCUUCAUUCGUUCUUUAUUUCCAUGCUUCCUCCUCACCCAGACUCCCAGGUUCUUUUAGGUUCACAGAAGGGCUCUGGGCCUCCCCUCAUUAGCUCUCAUCCCCCACCCUGAUCAUCCCAGGGCUGGACCUGGCCUUGAACUUGUCGAUUGGAUCCCCGAAGAUUUUCAAGAGAAGCACUUCUGUUUCUCAUAAUUUAAGAUCAAGUAUCUGGCCAUUGGCAGGUACAGGAAAGGGAAAAUCAUCUUUCUGUUUCUAAGAAAAGCCCCUACUGGAAUGGGGACAGAGGCCUAGGUGUCUCUUUACUACCCUCGCCUGGUGAGUAGUGGGGAUUUCUGGGAGGAGGAAAAUAAACUAAAAAUAUGAAUUCAGUUCACCCCCACCCAAAUGAUUUAAUGAUCAGGACCUUAACUCUUACAGGCCCUGAAAGUUCUCAGCUUUCCUGACCAAUGAGAAAUACGAAUGAGAUGACGCUAUCUUUGCCUGUAUUUCAAAUGUCCCCCUAAAAUGCCUUCAUUUUACAAGUGUGUGAAAAUCCCUGCCCUCUCCACCAUAAGGUAUUUAUACAAAGGGCGUGUUUAUCAUUAUUAUAAGAGGAAGGAAAUGCUUCCAAUUGUUAUCUGCCUUUCACAAUUAGAGGGAUGCUGAGGUUAAAAUUUUUCAUUUAGAUCCCAGACAAUUAAAACAAUCAUUUCUCCUUAGGUAAAGAGGUAAUUUGAUAAAUGUUACUAGUUUUUUAAAAUAGCAAUUGGGAUUAUUUGGAAAUUCCCUAAGUAGACAUCUUUAAUAAUUGUGUUAUUAAAAUAAAAAUAUUUUAGAACAAUUGAAACAUCAUUAAUGGAAUGUAAACGUUACCACAAGGAUGACAUUUUCUUUCUCCUUCUGCACUUGAUAUUUACUCAUUUCUUACUAACUUUGGAAUUUACCUUUUUUCCCCCCACUUCCAACAAUGUGCUUGGUUUAUGCAAAUAUUGAAAGUAACCUUGAAGACAAAUGUUGAAAGACGACAAUUUUCAUAUUCAUCUAAGGAAGAGUUUUCCUGAAAUGUAAAAGAAGUUAAAGAAGGUGAUUUUUCAAUAAUAGCCAAUUUGAGCAUGUAAGGAAAAAUUGUAUGACCUAAGAAAAGCUCGGAUUAAAUUGUUCAAUUUCAGAUUCAAAAAUACCAUUCCCUUCUGAGAAUACAUAUGACUGUACCCUGGAAAUUCUUUCUUUCUUCCCUUAAAACUGUAAAAUCUGCCAUGAAAACACUACGGCUGCAUGCAAGGCAAUCUGGUCACUGGAGGAACCGUGUGGAUGUCGUCCACCUGCCACCCGUCACAAUGUCUGUAAUUACCUUCUGUGGGUGGCUCAGCCUAAACAGAAAAAAGGCUGUGUCCCUACCUGUACGGAUGCUGCACAGGUUACACGUGGAGAGAAAGGAAAUGUGGUAAAUAUCAACAACUUCACGUUGCUAGGAGGAUCCAUUCUGCUAUUUCUUCAACUUUCCUGUGUUUAAUGUUUUUCAAAAUAAAAAGUUAGGAAAAGAAAUAAAUGUCAUGUGAACUUUAAGCACCUCAAAACUCCUUAAUGUAACUGGAUUUACUGGACCUAUUUGACUGGUGUAGGUGGACAAUGGCUACUCAGUUUUAUGCAUUUAAAGUUGUCUAGGUUAACUAUUGUAUUCUAAUAUUUGAGAAAUUAUUUAUACGUAUGUGUCUUUCUGAUUCCUUUGUAUUAUUUCUUAAUGUGCUGGAAAUAAAAUCUAGCUUUUUAGUUAAAAAAUAAGAGGAGGGUUCAACUACUGUAAUUUUCUUAAUUUUUCAAUAUGGAUCAAAUGAGGGCUAUGUUGUAGACACCAACUUUAUGCAACUCUGCUUUAAGAACUAGCAAAAUAUAGAACUUGCUCAUUGAUAAUUAUCAACAUAACAUUUCUUAAGUCUCCAUAAACUUCUAUGUGCAUAUGCUUAUGUUAUUGAAAUACUGAGAGUAGAAAAUACUUUGGUUUUUCUGCAAUCAGAUCACUGAUAGAGUGAAUUUUCUAUUUCCUUCCAUGAAGUUUUGAUGGGCUUCAUGCGAUGCCGUCCUUCCAAGCGUAACACUCCCUCCAAAGGCAGCAGGGCUAGGAAGCACAGUCAACACCCACUGACAACAUCAGCUGUGUAUUCAGAGUUGAAUAUCAAACAUUUAAGACUGUGAAAUAGAGGAAACCCUACAGAGCACAGGUUCAAGACCUGUUUCCCCAGUGUUCCCUGACUAAGCAAAGCCCUUGGCAUCGGCAGCAAGCUUGGAUUCCAGCAGCCCUUGAUCCUGUCUGGACCCUAUGAGCACUGUGUCACCGACUGUCUUACUUGAUGCAGUCUGGCCAGUUCACCCACUCCCUUUCUCUUUCAAGACACGACACUUAACCAGAGGCAAAAUGAUAUUCCACAGUCUGCUUUGAAGAACAGCACUUUGAAUGUGUUGAUUUUCCUGUGGACCCUGGCAUGUUUAAUAAUUGCAUGGUUCAUAUGUGGAUUUUUAGUGAGAAACAGUACAAAUUACUGUUGAAGGGCCCAGGUGUGGAAGGAGUCAAUAAGUAGAAUGGUCAAGAUUUAAAAGAAAACUUCCUGUAAAACUAUAUUGCAAAAUGUUUUCCAUGCAGAGUUAAGCACGUGUCUUGUUUAACUGAAAGCAUCAUGGGAGCUGUCCUGGGUCAAAGAGAUGCUCUGAAUUAGAAGAUGAGGCUUUAUAAGUCAAAGACUCAAAGGAAUCAUGCAACCGUCUU